rnacentral:rRNA from 1 species
UACAGGGGGGGCAAGCGUUGUUCGGAAUUACUGGGCGUAAAGGGCUUGUAGGUGGCCGACUAAGUCCGACGUGAAAUCCCCCGGCUCAACCGGGGAAUGGCUGGAUAUACUGGCGGUCUUGAGCGAUCUAGGGGCAGAUGGAACAGACGGUGGAGCGGUGAAAUGCGUAGAUAUCGUCUGGAACGCCAAAGGUGAAGACAGUCUGCUGGGGAUCUGCUGACGCUGAGACACGAAAGCCAGGGGAGCGAACGGG